rnacentral:lncRNA from 10 species
CCAAGCCAUUUAUUAAAAGUAAGGAAUGGUUACAUAGAGAGUAAGGGAUGGUUACACAGAUUCAGGAAUGGGCUUAAACUGAAAACUAUAAAAAUUACAGGAAAGUCUGUGUCUGACAAUGAAGAGUUGAUUAAGAAGAAAGACUAGCAUCCAAAGCAAGGCUUCAACUGGCUCUUCUGGAAGAAAACGCCUAAGAGGACCUACAACAGAGACACUGGGGCAUAAAACAUGGCAGGACAGAUCAAUUCUGCUGCUGUGUAGCAAUGAUGCAGGGCAUAUAACAAAGCCAAGCAUAGUGUACAGAACAAGAAACCCUUGUGUUCUCAAAAAACAAAAAUUAUGUCUCUGUGUUCUGGCAACAUAAUCAGAAAGUGUGGGUGACAGCCAUCUUGUUUAUGGAAUGGUUCCACCAAUGCUUCAUCCCAGAAAUGACAAAAUACUUGGAAGAGGAAGGGUUGAAAUUUAAGUCCUAUUAAUAAUAGACAACGCACUUGGCCAUCCUGAAUCUGUUUGCUGUGAAAAUGAAAAGUCAAGGUCAUAUUUUUACCUCCAAAUACAAUCUUAUUGCUUCAGCUCAUUUACCUGGGCAUCAUUUGAUUUGUCAAGUCAAUAUACAACUGCCUGAUAUUUGAUCACACAUGAUCAGCAAUUAAUGCAAACACCAAUCUGAACAUAAUGCAGUGCUGAUGCAACAGCAUUUAUCAAAGCUGCAAUGAAUGGAUUACAACCAGAAGCUGUAAAUGGCUACUGGACAGACUUAUGGAGUGCUGACCUGAAUAAUUUAAAAGGCUUUCUGGGGAGCAUCAGAGAAAUUAGGAAGACCAUUCGUGAAGCAAGACAAGUUGGUGAAGAAAGAUUUGCCAACAUGCUUGGAAGCAUGAAAGAACAUAUUGAAGGCCACUGAGAAGCAUUAACAAAUGAAGAAUUGGAAGAACUUGUUGAGUCCUCUGCAGAGGAAAAGGAAGAUAAAGAAGAACUGAAGCUGAACCAGCAAUAUGAAAAUUACCAAAAUUUGCCAAAGUGUUUUGAGUUGCACAGACUCUAAAGGACAAAAUUGUGGAAUAUGAUUCUUAAAUGGAACACAGCAUUAAAGUCACCCAUAUGAUCAAUGAAGGAUUAAAACCUCUGCAGAAACACUUUGAUGAGUUAAAAAGAGACAACACCUUCUGAUUACAGUGUUCUUCCAGAAAGUUUCAACCAAAAAACCUUCUACUAUUGAGGAUUCCCCACCAUCAACAUCGCCUGAUCCUGACAUUCAUCCAUUGACGUUGUCAAGGCUCGAGGAACCAGAAUCACUCAAAGCAGAAGGUCAACAGUAGCCUAACACUGCAUCACAAUGCCUAUAACGCUCACCUCACUUCAUCUCAUCAGGUCACAGCUUGCCAGCUAUUAUCACCUUCUGGAACCAUCCCUGGUAAAAGCGUUCAAAACCUUGGUGACCCAAUGAGAAUUCUCCAGGUCUUCUCGGGCCCUGUUCUUGCCCAUUAUGCCAUCUGAUUAGCAGGGCACACGCUGGGCUCUCAGAAAAAUAGGUCUUUACAGUGUGGUAUAAUUAAGAGAGAACAAAAUCUGGAUUCAGAAAGCCUACGUUUGAAUCCUGUCUCUGUGACUUACCAGUUAUGUGACCUAAUAAAAUCACAGUCCCACUGGGCGUCAUCUUCCUCACCUGAAAACUAGAUAUUAAUGGCAUCCAGCUCAGUGGGGGCUUUGAAGGCUAAAUGAGAGAAUACAAAGCUAUUGUAUGAAAAAGCUUUGUGCACCUAUAUCACAUUGUGUAUGUCAUUGUACUAGGCAGCUCCUAAUUCAAGAGGGCUCCAUCAUCCCAAAUUGCUGCUCUUUAUUCCUAGCUUGAGAAGUGGAAGGAGGGAAAUAAUAAUAAUAUCUUUGAUAAUAAUGGUGGCUACUGUUUAUUAAGAGCUUACCUGUCACCAGGUGCUAUGCUAUAUGCUUUACAAAUAAUAUUUCAACCAGAUCUGACAACUCAAUGAGAUAGAAACUGAGGCUCAGAAAAAUCAGUCACAAAAUUGCUAAAUUGUCAAGCUGGGGUUUUGUAACGUAGUGCCCCCAUUGUUCUAGAGGUGGCUUUUUUUUUUUCCUCUCCCUCUUCUUUUCGUAUUCCUGGGCUCCCUGUUUCCUACUUAGCCCUUCAGAAAUGCAAGUAUAGCCUUUUACCUGCCCCGUCACAGACAUUCCAUACAGGUCAAGUUCUGUGUGCUCCAAGACAGAUCUCUUCUUGGACUAAAGCACAGCCGCCAUGGAACUCUCACCUCCAUGGGGUUGCCUCGGAACUUUCAUCCAUCAGGAGGGCUCAUGGAAAGCAUGCCCGUGUGAACACUUUUACAGCUUCCUUCUGCCCAGGAAGGCACCACCUCAAC